UCUUGCCCUUCCACCUAGUUUCCAUGUUAUGAUGCAGCAAGAAGGCCCUUGCCAGAUGUGGCUCCUGGAUUGUGGACUUUUCAGCCCCCAGAACUGUGAGCCAAACAAACUUCUUUUGUUCAUAACUUCCCCAGUCUGUGAUAUCCUGUUACAGCAGCAGAAAAUGGACUAAGACACCCAGGGAUGUACCUGGAACCUGGAAAAAGCUGUUGGAAGGUAGCUAGAGAAGAGCUCAUCACAGCAGUAUAAGGACAAUCUCUGCUCUUGUACGCUCAGGGGCAGAUCUGCAUCACGGGCUUGCAUGUCCAAUUUCACCUUGGCACUUGCUUCUCCGAGGGUCUGGACAUGGGGCUUCGUUUGAGUCUGGAAGCAGUGGAGAGGGGCCAGAAGCUCCAGGCCUUGGCUUGGAGAUCUCUACAGGUGUGCAUGGAGAUGUUUGAAGUGCUAAUGGCUGAGACAGAGCAAGUGGCAGAGGCCUAGGAGACGGAGGCUGAAAGAGUCUGAGGAGGAAAGGAGGCACUGAGGGACUCACAUGAAGCUACUCUGUCAGCAUUCUAAAACUUCUGACAUUCUUUUCUAUGAAGAUAAUUGAAUCACCAAAUUUGAUGAAAUGUUCCCCAAAUAUCAGGUGAAAAAAACUCAUCUAAACCUUUGGACUUGGAAUUGCCCACAUAGACCACAUCAGCAAUGGAAGACAGAGCAAAUAACAUGUCGGUUCAAUGUAUGAAGGAGCUUUUCUUUCCCCUGCCCCAACCCUCAGACAGGUAAAUCUGUGAAAGCUCUAUUUUGAUUCUUUUUAAAUUAUUUGUUUUACAUGUUUUGUGUUUUAUGUUGGCUGAUUCCAAAUGGUUGAAAUAGUGGAGGUCCAACAACCAUUUUCACAGUGUAAUCUUCAGAAGUUCAUCCUUUGGGUUGUAAUUUCAUGAUAAGGAGGAGCAAGAAGAUGCUUUUUGUAACUCAAAUAGCAUCUUCUGAGAAAGGUCUCUAUUUUCACUUGUGUCUUAACUUACAACUGUGUUCAACUCUAUUUCCUUUCCUUGCUUUACAUUUUUUCUUAUGCACCUAUAAUUAUCCAAUUUACUAUAUAUUUUAUAUUUGUCUGUUAUUGUCUGUUUUCUCCACUAAAACAUAAACUUCUUGCAGGAUUUUUGUCUGUUUUUCUCACUGUUGAAUCCCAAAAGCAAAGAAGAAUACCUAGCAUAGAGUUAGUGUUCAAGAAACAUUUGCUAAAUGGAUGAACACCUCUUCAUUUUAUGAGAAAUGAAUCUUCCCCAAGAAGGGGCUCCCGGGUGCAUCUUGUGUGUAGACAUCUCUAUGUCCCCAGGCUGCUGUAGAGCUGAGUCAUCUUUGUGCCCACACCUGGGAAGCAGGACCCUUGUUCGUGUUUCUUUGGCCUUGGGCAUGUCAGUGAGUAAGGAGGAUGUGUGGGAUCUGUGUCCAUAUUUACGUAAGAAAGCAAUAUAGCCUACUGCCCCUUUCAUUUUCAGCAAGUGUGUGUUUACACUGGCCUGGGAUCUACUAUAAAGUUUAAUGUUUGGUUAUACAUUUAUUUCUCAGCUACUUUUGUGAAUAAACAUUUUCUAAAACAUAUCUAUUUUAAAAGUGACAAUGUUUGAAUGAAAGAAAGAGGAGGAGUGAAGCCUGGUAGUUAAUUUGCAGAACUUAGAGCCUGAAUUUUUUGGGUUGGAUCUUUGAUUUUACCAUUCAUUAGUUUUGUGAUCUUCCUCAAUUUCCCAAUCUGUAAAAUGGAAAUAAUAAUAGUACCUACCUCAUGGGAUGUCAAGAGUAAAUAUAAAAAAUGUGUGACACCCAGGAAUGACUAUAUAAGUACUAGCAGUUAAUAUUAUUUAUUAUUAUUAUUCCUGCUUGAAUAAUCACUUUGAGCUAAAUCACUUUGUUUUUACUACUAGCAAUAAGCAUGCUUAAAUACUUUUAAUGUUAUUAUAAUUUGUAUUAUAGUAGACUAAUCUGGAAUUUUAUUAAGCAGAAUUCCCUCUAGACAGGCAUCUAUGCAUACGGAGCAAAAAAUGAUGUAUAUAAUAAUAAGUUUGAGGCACUGAAAGAUCUUGAAUGAGCUUCUGAAUCAUCAGUUACUGUAUCUUUGGGGAACACCAGAGAAAGACUCUCCUUACCAUCCUCACUGCAACUAAACUUCGGGACCCUGGGCUUUGGGUUCAUGGUCUCGCCACUGAAAAGGUUCCCUCCACACUUUUGGAAUUGUGCACCCAUUGGAACCCUUGAGGUAAAGCUAACCAGAGAAAUUUCUCCCAAGAAGAAGAAGAUGGCAUCCUUGAAGUGAACAGCUUUUCCCAAGUUCACAGAGUAAGACUUCUACUAUCAUGAAACUCUUAUCUUUGAAUAUUUUUUCUUGCUUAUAUCUCUACUAACAAUAGAAGUGGAAAAAGGGUCUGUUAUGUGCACUUAUGGGGUAUACUUUUAUUUGUGAAGAAGUUUGCAGCCAGCCUUAUACAUGGAUAACCUUCUACUUUGAUAGAGAUGAAGGCCCAAUGCAGGUAAGAAACUUUAGUGGUACAUAUGUUGCCCCAUAAUCACUCAAAAACAAAAUAUUGGUUCAUCCCUCUUAACCCACAUCAUGGGUUAAAGAGAACAUUGCCAGGGGGUCUUCACUCUCCUAGAAGGGCAUCAUUUGUUAAGUCCUUUUUCCAUGGCUUAAAGUAAAGGAAGCAAUGAUUAGAAAUGUAUCCCUCAUGAUAGGCUCUAUAGCAAAUCUACUUUAAAGGCUAUCGUUACACAACAGAUUUUAAAUUCUCUUUGAAAGUUAUGCUAAAUAGAAUUGGCUAAACAAAGAAGUUCUUCUGCAGCUGCUGACACUUGCGGCCUAUGGAGAAACAGGUCAAAUGCAGAUUAUAAAAAUUCAGUGUAGGGGAUUAAUGAAAAGACCACUUAGUCAAGUGAGUAGACUCUUCAUCUAGCUCAUUCUUUAAACUAUUUAAGUGUAGGUGGUUUGGUUUCUAGGGACCCUGGUUAAGGAGCAUACUCUGAACUCUGGGUAUUUUCCUUCCAGUAGUGAUAAUAGUAGUCUCCUUGGUGCACUGUAUUCUCUCAAAGGUUUUAAAUGCUUGCAUGCAGCCAUCUCUAGAACAUCAAAUGGUCUCUCUUCGACUGGAAUGACAACAGCUGAAAGAAAUGUUCAACCAUGAGGACACCAUACCUAUAAAUGAUGUGCUGAGACUGGAAACCCAAAAUGUUGGUAACUGAGAAGUGGCACUAAGGCCCUAAGUUUUGGUUGCACACUCACCUAAGUGAGAACCUGACCAAAAAGGGGGGAUUUUUAAAACAAAACUCUGUGAGGCCAUUGUUUUGGACUAAGCUCAUGCACUCAUGCCCUGGGCCCCAACAGACUAAAGCAAACACAGAUGGAGUCAUUUGUGCUAAGACUUUAAGGAAACGCUUGGAUUCCACAACAGACUAGCUUUUGUUUUUUUCUUCUGCAAAUCUCUAUAACAAACAUUUCUGACAACAUAGGUAUCCACCCCCUGAAGUUCCCAUUAAAUCUUUUAACCAAAUUCAUUUCCUCUCACCUAGAGACCAUCAAGCUUCAGAUGAUGAUGCAACAAAGGUUUCAGCCAGUUCCAGGUGAAGACACCACCCUUGGACAUCAAGAAGCUACCCUGCCUCCACUAGAUAGAGCAGGGAGAGUUCUGUGAUCCCCAAUAGGGCCUUUGUAGACGCUAUCCCUUUGUGGAGAAGACUCUCAACACCCUUCAAAUACUAUGAUCUCAUCAGGAAGGCCCUCCCUGACCACCUAUGCCUGGCUGUUGUCUGAACAAUGAAUCCUGGAAGCACCUAGGAGAAGGCACCUAGGAGAAACGUCUUAGGGAGUAGUCCCGCGGGUCCGCCCCAGGACAGUAACGCUGUCAGUUUCCCCGCCCUUUGCACCUGUAGUGCAGACGGUACCAAAUGCGAUGGCUUUGAGACGUCCUCUAGACAUCGGAGCCCAUCAUUUACCACAAAGAACACUGAAGUACUUACUUUAGCAGAACAUUUUCCGAAGAAAAAUUAACAGGGAGAGGAAAUGAAGGACACUAACAAACAGACCCCAUCUCUAGAGUCUGAGAUCAAACCCAAGUCCGAUGGAGCCCGGGCAUCUGGUGGAGGAAAGCGGGCAGGCAUAGCCCCAAUCCUGGUCCUCAACAAGAUAUUUCUGUGAAUGAAUCCCUCUGCUCCCUGGAGGAGGGCACAUUACAUAUCCCUUUCCUAAAUCAGAACUGAAGCAAUUUGCCCAUCAUUCGCACACCUCGACAGGGAAAGGCAGGAUUCCAGUGUCUCAUCAGACCCGGGAAGAGGGGAAGGGUCGCUGGCGCAGUUACCUACUGGGUUUCCGGGAGCUAGGGAAAACGCCCCUGGGAAACGCAAGUGUUCAGCGCCACAUAAAACUUCCCCGGAUUUAGGGCCACCCUAAGACGGGCGAAAAGACUCUCCAGCGCCUUAGCAGGUGCAAAGCCAGCUGUCAGUGUGCGCAUGGCGAGUCCCCGUUCCCGAGAAGGGACGCAAAUGACCCUAGAAAAUCAGACAGGAGCAAAACAAACCCA
rnacentral:lncRNA from 1 species